rnacentral:rRNA from 1 species
UACGGAGGGUGCGAGCGUUGUUCGGAAUCACUGGGCGUAAAGGGCGUGUAGGCGGUCCGCUAAGUCUGAUGUGAAAGCCCGGGGCUCACCCCCGGACGUGCAUUGGAAACUGGCGGACUCGAGUCCCGGAGAGGCAAGGGGAAUUCCACGUGUAGCGGUGAAAUGCGUAGAGAUGUGGAGGAACACCUGUGGCGAAGGCGCCUUGCUGGCCGAUUUCUGACGCUGAGGCGCGAAAGCGUGGGGAGCAAACAGG